rnacentral:misc_RNA from 1 species
GGCAUCAAACGCGAUCUCGAGCCCGGUCCCCGUGACGUGGUAUCCGACGCUUGCUGUCCUCCAUUUCGUCAUCGGCCUCAUCGUCACCGCCUCCUUCUUCAUUUAUGAAGCUACUACGUCCAAGAAGAAUCGUACCCUGUCAAAGGAAGUCGCCAUGGGGGCUAUUGCCUCUGUGUUCCUGGGCUUUGGAUCUCUGUUUCUG